CUCUCAGGGACUCGGAACGAGGGCUGGGGGGCAGCAAUCUCCCCCCAACUUAACCUCUAGUACCCCUCGGAUUUCUAAUUGCAUUAUAUCUUGUUUAUUUAUUGAUCUAUUCAUUUAUUUGCUCAACAACGUUUAUCGAGUGCCUACUUUGGGUCAGCCCCUUGCUUGAAGUGGUGAACAGCAGACAUGUUUCUGCCAUGAUGGAGCUCACAGUCCAGCAGGGAAAACAGGUGCUAAGUACGUAAUGAUGCUGAACUGUGAUGCUGCAUUAUGCAUUGUGCACACACGGAUACUCAUCUUUUAAAUUCAGUUUAGACAUCGUCUCCUCCAGGCAGUCUCUCCAGAUUCUCCUGGUUGCGUUAGGCACCGUCCUAUGUGCCCUGCUGGCAUCCUAUAAAUGUCUCUGUCCUACCACUUCACACACUGUGCUGCCACUGUAGAUGAGGCUGUCUUCCACCUUCCCUACAGUGAAUGGUGGGCUUCAGAGGCGCCAGGAUCGUCUCAUUUCCUUCUUAAUCCCUAGCUCAGUUCCUGGUACAUAAUAGAGUCCAAUAAAUGCGAAGUAAAAGGCUGACUGAAGAAACAUUUUCUUUAUUGGGUCUUUCCAAGGAGGGUCCCAAUAAAUGUCACUUCUGAACGAUUUAAGAAAUAAUUCAGGAGUAAAGACACAGACCGAAUACGACCUUUAGGAGUGCUGGAGGCUCUGUUGGAGGAUGUAGCUUAGCUGAGGACCAAAUGGGGCUGCCAGGGAGCCACAGCAGUAGGCAGAUGCCCACCCAGGUGAGGGGCCCUAGGGGCCGGGAGGGGGUGGCUGAAGCGCAGCGGAGCGUGCUCCCCGGUGGGGGGUGGGGAGUGGGGGGCGGGGAGUUGUUCCUCGCUUGUCCAGUCAACCUCCCAGAUCGACCCCGAGAGAAAGGGCCCCGCCCCCAGGGGCAGAAGGUGCUGAUGGGGGAGAGAGGUCCGGAACAUAGAGGCCGCGCUAAUUUGCCCUUUACGGGAAGGAAACACCAGACAGAUGUCAGCAAGAAAUGUUCCCUGUGACCAGCUCCACCCUUUCUCCUAUGUUUGUUCACUCUUUACAAAAGCCGAUGGAGGUGUCCCCUCAUCUACAGAGGAGGAAGACGAGGAGUGGAUACAAUGUUAAGUUUGAAGUAUGGCAGGCCUGCAUACCUUCUGGAAAUGUCCAUCACAUUUUCUUCAGCAGCCUUUAAUGGAACCAAAUUCUCCUGAGAGAAUGACACUUCCCAUUCACUGACUCCAGUAAGGAGCAUCAUUCCCAGGUACUUGACUUUGAGGAGGCUGGAGAUGAAUGAGAUGCUCAGAAGCCUAAAAGACGCAGGAGUGGUCUUUGUUCAGAGGUUGCCCACUGCCCAGUUCUCAGAGCAGACUGAAUCUCAGAGAAGGAACAUUUCCCUUACAGCUCUUGGAUGGAUGUGUUUUGAAAACAGACUUACUUCUCCAAGGAUUUGACCUGACAACUUGUUCGCCUGUGAGGGUUGGAUCUGUGUGGAAGCCUAGCCCUAAUACUGAAAAGUUUUACUUUUCUGAAGAAAGGGACUGAAAGGCAGCUACAUGUUUGGCACAGUAAUGCUAAGGCUCUGGCACAAAAUCAGUCUGUCAGAAGCUCCUUUCCUCUGGAUAGACGGACCAGUGACACUGGAUGGACUAAAGUCUUGUCUCAAAUGAAUGUAGAGCCCACUUCGGGAUUUCCAGCCCCUCUGCCUCUGGCUCCAAAGAACUGGCUUUACCAUUGACGUUGUUAACAGCAAGGUCAGUGACGGGGGAUCAAAGCCCAGGGGAGAAACUGGGGCUGGUCAAGGGGGAGCCACCUGCCACAGAGCUUGGUUUUAACAUCUGUUGUCUAGGGUCACACUUCUCCAAAAGAUACACUACUGUGGUCAAGAUCAAGGUCACAUGGAAAAGAGGACUUUAAAGACAGCAAGUGAGCAUGGGUUGAUCUCAAGAUGAACUGGAACUGAAGAAAUCGAAAUUAGAAACCAAAUGUCCAUAUUUCAGAGAAAAGAACUUUACCAUUGAUCAGUUGCCCUGGGCAGUAAGAAACAGAUCGGGCACAAACUGGCUUAAGCUGGAAGCAAACGAAUUAGUUCACGUAGAAGGUGUCAACAGCAGGGUGGGCUUCAGGGUGGGUGGAUUCAGAGGCUUGAGGGCAUCAUUCUGUUCCUCGGUUCCAUUCUGUCUCUCCUCGCUGUCCUCCAUAGCACCGGCCUCAUGCUAAGUCUGGUUCCCUUGUGUUCGAAUGGUGGCUGCCAAUGGCAGUCGGGACACGUGUUUUCUUUCCCACCCAGGGAGGGAGAAGAAGAGGCUAGAUACCCAUGACACAUUCUUCCCUGGCGUCCCCAGGAGCCUCUGCUCAUGACUCAGGGGCCUCCCGGAGAGGAGAUGGUGGUCCCAGGCUUGCGCAGACCCAUCUGCUGGCGCGGAGUGGAUGUAGCCUCUAGGAUCACACGAAGAGGUUUCAGCUGUGCUGGGGCUUCCCCACUUUCAUGUUCCUUGAGUGUAAACUAAUGGGGCUGUUCUGUUUGUCUAUUGCUAUACAACAAAUGACCCCAAACUUAGUGGCUUGAAGAUACAGUCAUUUUAUUGUAUCUCCCAAUUUACGGGUCAUGAAUUCAGGCAGGACCCAGCUGAGAGAUGCUUCAGCAUCACAUGGCUUGGGCUGGGGUCACUCAGCGGUAUUUGGCUGGCAGCCAGGCUGGUCCGAGGGUCCUAGGAUGUCAUCACUCACAUGAUUGGCACCCUAGCGAUACUGGGGGCUGGGCUCAGGUGGGCGCCUCUCCCUCAUUGUGUGGGCCCUCUCCUUGUGGUCUCUCCAGCGGAGGAGCUGAACUUCUCACGUGGUGGCUCAGUUUGCUACACAGCUGCAAGUGACAGAGAAAUUGUGAAAUACAAGAUGAUUCCCAAUGAUUUGACAUGUCAUCUCCACUGUCCAUAAUAAACAAAAAGAAACGGGCAUUCAAUUUUAAUAAUAGAUGCUUUGUUUUUCUCCAUGCCCCCUAAAUAGAUGUGUCCAUUUUUAAAAUAUCUGUUUGAAGAGAUGCCGCUUUGCCAUACUGUCCAGGGUGCCGGCGUCGCUGGCUCACCCUGUAUGGUAUGACUGUGGGGUUAUCUUUCCUUCCCAUCACCCCUGCUUGGUCUAGGGCAUCAUCACGUCUCCCAUGCUAUCCCAGUAGCCUCCAUCUGACCCUCUGGCACCAGUCUCACCCUCUUCCACUCAUCCUCUACAUGUUUUCCAGUGUGAUUUUUCUGAAACAAAUCUGCUCAGACCAUUCUCUUGUCUAAAGUCACUAUGGGGUUCUCUUUUACCAACCAGAUAAAAUUCACUCUUGAGUAUGGC
ensembl:lncRNA